ACAAUAUCAACAUUCCCAAGGAGAGUGGACUGGAAUGUGCAUGUGUGAACAAUGAUGACUUCACUGUGCUAGUCAGCCAGCAGGGGCAGUAGACGCUGUUGAUU